UGGGGAAUAUUGCACAAUGGGCGCAAGCCUGAUGCAGCGACGCCGCGUGAGGGAUGACGGCCUUCGGGUUGUAAACCUCUUUCAAUAGGGACGAAGCGCAAGUGCCGGUACCUAUAGAAGAAGGACCGGCCAACUACGUGCCAGCAGCCGCGGUAAUACGUAGGGUCCGAGCGUUGUCCGGAAUUACUGGGCGUAAAGAGCUCGUAGGUGGUUUGUCGCGUUGGUCGUGAAAACCCACAGCUUAACUGUGGGCGUGCGGGCGAUACGGGCAGACUUGAGUACUGCAGGGGAGACUGGAAUUCCUGGUGUAGCGGUGGAAUGCGCAGAUAUCAGGAGGAACACCGGUGGCGAAGGCGGGUCUCUGGGCAGUAACUGACGCUGAGGAGCGAAAGCGUGGGGAGCGAACA
rnacentral:rRNA from 1 species